UCAAUCGGAGUUUUCUUUGAGAUUUUACGACGAAAACAAGUAGGACUCCUCUUGGCUUGCUUCCACUCGCUACGUAGCGACCUGUCGAUGGAAACUUCUCUUGUUUCAUCUUGAUUGGAGUUACCAUUGAAACUUUACAAUAAAAAAAAACCCGCAAAGACUUUGUUUCUCGCAUGGAUUCAGAUUGAUCGUAUAAAACGGCAACGGAUAACUUAACACCUUAGCCGCCUCAACUAUCCGACUACGUUGAACCUUUUAUAAUAUUGGCGUCGUAUCUAAGGAGAAGGUAACAGACAAGUUCGGAAGAUAAAUGUCAAGUUUCAAAGGAUAAACACCAAUAUCGAAAAUGGCGAACAUACACGAGAAGAGGAAGGGGAAAUGAGCAAGCAAAACUGAGAAGAGACAAAGCUGCAUCUUCGAGAGAACUAAGAUCUUGCAAACCGAUCUAAACUCUCCGAAAAUUGAGAAACGAUCGCAACGCAUAUCAAGAUCGCUUCCUAAAGACAGAAAAAACUAGAGACAUGAACGUCGUCUUAAAACCGAUUCGUUACUAGCAAUUUUCUCAGAACCAACAUAUUCCAAGUCGUCAACAUGGAAACAACCAAAUCACAGUCCAAGCGUCGUCUUUAAAUCGCCCCGGAUUAUCGAUCAUUCCAAACCUCAAAAGAAGAAACGUACACAACCCGUCAAAGUAUCGGUUCAACCGUUUUAUUUCGUAAAAAAAAGGGAGUAAGUACAUAUACUAUACUCGUAUACUCCCAAA